rnacentral:rRNA from 1 species
CAGAGGGGGCAAGCGUUAUUCGGAAUUAUUGGGCGUAAAGGGCGCGUAGGCGGCUUAGCAAGUGACGGGUGAAAUCCCUCGGCUUAACCGAGGAACUGCCUGUCAGACUGCAUGGCUUGAGACCAGGAGAGGUGAGUGGAAUUCCCAGUGUAGCGGUGAAAUGCGUAGAUAUUGGGAGGAACACCAGUGGCGAAGGCGGCUCACUGGACUGGUACUGACGCUGAGGCGCGAAAGCGUGGGGAGCAAACAGGAUUAGAUACCCUGGUAGUCCACGCCGUAAACGAUGAGUGCUUGGUGUAGCGGGUAUCGACCCCUGCUGUGCCGAAGUCAACACAUUAAGCACUCCGCCUGGGGAGUACGGUCGCAAGACUG